ensembl:snRNA
GUGUUAUAUGAAAGGAGAGAAGGUCAAUGCUCUCCUUGACAAGGAUGGAUGAGGCUCCAACAUGCCUAUAGUUAAGGCAUUGCCACUUCAUGGCAUCAUUGCAAAUCAAUAUUUUU